rnacentral:other from 1 species
UUAUAUUUUGCAAAUAUUUUGGGAGACAUUGAUUUUCCUGCCCGUGCUCCCCCGUUCUUGCCUGCGGAGUGCGCUGCGCCGCCCAGCCCUGUCGCCCCCCGGAGGUGAUCCCUCCCUCCUGCCUGCCCGCCAGCC